GGGUUGUGAGGUUAAGCGACUAAGCGUACACGGUGGAUGCCCUGGCAGUCAGAGGCGAUGAAGGACGUGCUAAUCUGCGAUAAGCGUCGGUAAGGUGAUAUGAACCGUUAUAACCGGCGAUUUCCGAAUGGGGAAACCCAGUGUGUUUCGACACACUAUCAUUAACUGAAUCCAUAGGUUAAUGAGGCGAACCGGGGGAACUGAAACAUCUAAGUACCCCGAGGAAAAGAAAUCAACCGAGAUUCCCCCAGUAGCGGCGAGCGAACGGGGAGCAGCCCAGAGCCUGAAUCAGUGUGUGUGUUAGUGGAAGCGUCUGGAAAGGCGCGCGAUACAGGGUGACAGCCCCGUACACAAAAAUGCACAUGCUGUGAGCUCGAUGAGUAGGGCGGGACACGUGGUAUCCUGUCUGAAUAUGGGGGACCAUCCUCCAAGGCUAAAUACUCCUGACUGACCGAUAGUGAACCAGUACCGUGAGGGAAAGGCGAAAAGAACCCCGGCGAGGGGAGUGAAAAAGAACCUGAAACCGUGUACGUACAAGCAGUGGGAGCACGCUUAGGCGUGUGACUGCGUACCUUUUGUAUAAUGGGUCAGCGACUUAUAUUCUGUAGCAAGGUUAACCGAAUAGGGGAGCCGAAGGGAAACCGAGUCUUAACUGGGCGUUAAGUUGCAGGGUAUAGACCCGAAACCCGGUGAUCUAGCCAUGGGCAGGUUGAAGGUUGGGUAACACUAACUGGAGGACCGAACCGACUAAUGUUGAAAAAUUAGCGGAUGACUUGUGGCUGGGGGUGAAAGGCCAAUCAAACCGGGAGAUAGCUGGUUCUCCCCGAAAGCUAUUUAGGUAGCGCCUCGUGAAUUCAUCUCCGGGGGUAGAGCACUGUUUCGGCAAGGGGGUCAUCCCGACUUACCAACCCGAUGCAAACUGCGAAUACCGGAGAAUGUUAUCACGGGAGACACACGGCGGGUGCUAACGUCCGUCGUGAAGAGGGAAACAACCCAGACCGCCAGCUAAGGUCCCAAAGUCAUGGUUAAGUGGGAAACGAUGUGGGAAGGCCCAGACAGCCAGGAUGUUGGCUUAGAAGCAGCCAUCAUUUAAAGAAAGCGUAAUAGCUCACUGGUCGAGUCGGCCUGCGCGGAAGAUGUAACGGGGCUAAACCAUGCACCGAAGCUGCGGCAGCGACGCUUAUGCGUUGUUGGGUAGGGGAGCGUUCUGUAAGCCUGCGAAGGUGUGCUGUGAGGCAUGCUGGAGGUAUCAGAAGUGCGAAUGCUGACAUAAGUAACGAUAAAGCGGGUGAAAAGCCCGCUCGCCGGAAGACCAAGGGUUCCUGUCCAACGUUAAUCGGGGCAGGGUGAGUCGACCCCUAAGGCGAGGCCGAAAGGCGUAGUCGAUGGGAAACAGGUUAAUAUUCCUGUACUUGGUGUUACUGCGAAGGGGGGACGGAGAAGGCUAUGUUGGCCGGGCGACGGUUGUCCCGGUUUAAGCGUGUAGGCUGGUUUUCCAGGCAAAUCCGGAAAAUCAAGGCUGAGGCGUGAUGACGAGGCACUACGGUGCUGAAGCAACAAAUGCCCUGCUUCCAGGAAAAGCCUCUAAGCAUCAGGUAACAUCAAAUCGUACCCCAAACCGACACAGGUGGUCAGGUAGAGAAUACCAAGGCGCUUGAGAGAACUCGGGUGAAGGAACUAGGCAAAAUGGUGCCGUAACUUCGGGAGAAGGCACGCUGAUAUGUAGGUGAGGUCCCUCGCGGAUGGAGCUGAAAUCAGUCGAAGAUACCAGCUGGCUGCAACUGUUUAUUAAAAACACAGCACUGUGCAAACACGAAAGUGGACGUAUACGGUGUGACGCCUGCCCGGUGCCGGAAGGUUAAUUGAUGGGGUUAGCGCAAGCGAAGCUCUUGAUCGAAGCCCCGGUAAACGGCGGCCGUAACUAUAACGGUCCUAAGGUAGCGAAAUUCCUUGUCGGGUAAGUUCCGACCUGCACGAAUGGCGUAAUGAUGGCCAGGCUGUCUCCACCCGAGACUCAGUGAAAUUGAACUCGCUGUGAAGAUGCAGUGUACCCGCGGCAAGACGGAAAGACCCCGUGAACCUUUACUAUAGCUUGACACUGAACAUUGAGCCUUGAUGUGUAGGAUAGGUGGGAGGCUUUGAAGUGUGGACGCCAGUCUGCAUGGAGCCGACCUUGAAAUACCACCCUUUAAUGUUUGAUGUUCUAACGUUGACCCGUAAUCCGGGUUGCGGACAGUGUCUGGUGGGUAGUUUGACUGGGGCGGUCUCCUCCUAAAGAGUAACGGAGGAGCACGAAGGUUGGCUAAUCCUGGUCGGACAUCAGGAGGUUAGUGCAAUGGCAUAAGCCAGCUUGACUGCGAGCGUGACGGCGCGAGCAGGUGCGAAAGCAGGUCAUAGUGAUCCGGUGGUUCUGAAUGGAAGGGCCAUCGCUCAACGGAUAAAAGGUACUCCGGGGAUAACAGGCUGAUACCGCCCAAGAGUUCAUAUCGACGGCGGUGUUUGGCACCUCGAUGUCGGCUCAUCACAUCCUGGGGCUGAAGUAGGUCCCAAGGGUAUGGCUGUUCGCCAUUUAAAGUGGUACGCGAGCUGGGUUUAGAACGUCGUGAGACAGUUCGGUCCCUAUCUGCCGUGGGCGCUGGAGAACUGAGGGGGGCUGCUCCUAGUACGAGAGGACCGGAGUGGACGCAUCACUGGUGUUCGGGUUGUCAUGCCAAUGGCACUGCCCGGUAGCUAAAUGCGGAAGAGAUAAGUGCUGAAAGCAUCUAAGCACGAAACUUGCCCCGAGAUGAGUUCUCCCUGACCCUUUAAGGGUCCUGAAGGAACGUUGAAGACGACGACGUUGAUAGGCCGGGUGUGUAAGCGCAGCGAUGCGUUGAGCUAACCGGUACUAAUGAACCGUGAGGCUUAACCUUACAACGCCGAAGCUGUU
rnacentral:rRNA from 2 species